rnacentral:tRNA from 1 species
AUGUAGCCAAGUGGAUCAAGGCAGKGGAUUUGA